rnacentral:rRNA from 1 species
AUUGAACGCUGGCGGCAGGCUUAACACAUGCAAGUCGAGCGGAGAGAGGUAGCUUGCUACCGAUCUUAGCGGCGGACGGGUGAGUAAUGCUUAGGAAUCUGCCUAUUAGUGGGGGACAACAUUUCGAAAGGAAUGCUAAUACCGCAUACGUCCUACGGGAGAAAGCAGGGGAUCUUCGGACCUUGCGCUAAUAGAUGAGCCUAAGUCGGAUUAGCUAGUUGGUGGGGUAAUGGCCUACCAAGGCGACGAUCUGUAGCGGGUCUGAGAGGAUGAUCCGCCACACUGGGACUGAGACACGGCCCAGACUCCUACGGGAGGCAGCAGUGGGGAAUAUUGGACAAUGGGCGGAAGCCUGAUCCAGCCAUGCCGCGUGUGUGAAGAAGGCCUUAUGGUUGUAAAGCACUUUAAGCGAGGAGGAGGCUACUUUAGUUAAUACCUAGAGAUAGUGGACGUUACUCGCAGAAUAAGCACCGGCUAACUCUGUGCCAGCAGCCGCCGCGGUA